UAUUGCCCCACAAUACAAGCGCGCGAGCACACACACAGCCCGUGGCCCUCUCCACCAGGUAGACACAUCCCCAUACACACCUCGCGCGGCCACACACAUACAUAUACACGCACAAACAAACACAUCCACGAAAGCCGGACGCGGACACACCCCCUCCCCUUUUUCUCGCUCUCCCCCCUUCCCCUCCCUCCAGCCUCACCUUCCGCCCCCUGCGGUUACCUCCUCCCUCCCCGGGAGGCUGUGGGACUGAGCCGGAGCCCGAGCGGCUCAAGAUACGAUGCGAGGAGGGAGGAAGAGGUUCACUCAGUACCGCUGCAGGCGGGUGAGGGUCACCGGCUGGAGCCGGUGCCGCUGGCGGCUCGCCACUCUCCCAGUCAGUGGGCUGGGGCGGCCAUCACGCAUCCAUCCCUUCGGCCAUCGGCAAGAGAGCCUGCGCGUAGGAGAAGCACGCCCUUAUCGAGCACCGAGUUAUCGAGUGAAGCACGGAGGCGGGGAGGGAGGAGAAAGGAGGGCGAAGAGGCAGAGGGAGAUGAGGAAACCAAGGCCCGUGGAAGAAGCAAACUAGCCCAAGGUCACACAUUUGAUAGUAAAAGUCAUAGAGUCUACAUGCCCUGUAGGGCAAAUAAGAUCAAAUGCUAGCCUAGAACAAAAUGUGAAUGAGCAAACUUCUUAAUGUAGCCUUAACAACUCACCUGGAAUUAGGGGGGGAAAUGAGUUAACAGGGUAAUAGGACAUCCUGGGGCCACUGCCAUGGAACUCUCCAAGGAAAGACAAGUCCUAAUGAUCUGAAAACCAACGAAGGAAUCUAAUGAGGCAAAAAGAAGGCCAUUGUCUCUUUGUCCAGGAAGUCAGUCAAGGCUAGUACUUUUCAAAGCAGAAGCCACAAAAAAUCAGUAUGAGAGAAGGAGGCAAUAACUGCAAGGAAGUAAUUUAUGCUCUACACCUCAACUUCAUCACCUGGUACUGGAGAGGGAAGGAAAUUAAAUAUUCUCAAGAUCCCUUUCAGUUCUAAAUAUCAUAAAAUUCUAUGAAAUUUUGGAUCUGCAGAGGAAAAUACCUUUUCAAUUAAGAGGACCUUAUCCAGAGAUAAAAAUGAGGUAGCAGGUUUUAGAAGGGACUAAAAGAUUUUAGAAUCUUUUGACCUGAAUCUAAACCUGAGUUUAGGCCUAGCACGCAACCCAGAUGAGGACAAAAGAACAAAGUAAAUGAAGAGGAACUUAGAAAGAGAAGAUCACAUUCUGUUUAUGUCUCAUGGAAGAUGAAGGUUAACUUUGAAGAUGUAUUGUAACUUCAAUCAAUUGAUCAAUAAACAUUUUUGAGCAUCCUCUCUGUUCUAGGCA
rnacentral:lncRNA from 1 species